rnacentral:misc_RNA from 1 species
AGAAAAAUCUUUAGCCACGGCUUAGAAAGGGCCGCCGUAAGCUGUGCUUCCAACUCCAAAAACUGCGAAUUUGCACUUAGAAAGCAACAAAGAACCGACUCGAAAAUCAUCAGCACUGUCAGCGAGCCAAUUCGCGAAGAAACUGGCGUUUGAAGGCGGUUUUCCAUCUUCCCAAGUGGAAGCGAUAAUUAUUACCACCGUCUCUUUGGAAAGGUCCUCAGGCUCAUAGUCUUUGAUAUCGAUGAGGUCAAAUAAGAGAUCGUUUAACUUGAAGAGAUUGUGGAGGCGCUGCGCUAGGGUUUUGGAGGUCCCUGUUUGAGAGAUGAAGAAGAGCUUGCCUUUAUUAGAAGAGCUAAUAGGAUUAGCAUUGAGAUUAUCUUUAGGGUUUAGGGAGAUUUUCAGGAGUUUGAGACGGCGAGAUUUGUAGAAGCAGUAGAAGGUGGAGGCUGAGAGGAGAGCUAGGAGAGUUAAGCGAGCGUAGGUGGAGGACAGGGACAUGGUUGGGAUUUUAUAAGUCUAUGGGCUUUGUAGUGAGAGUGACUGAAAUAUUGCAGGUGUUAAAGAGAGAAUGUAGAGAGCUGCGUUCAUCGUCGAAGAAACAAGAGCGAGUCAGCGUCAC